UCUCCCGCCUAAGCGUCGCGCAAGGAGGCGCGUAUGGCCGGGUCGGGCACUCAGCGAGAGAACGAAAUCUCUGGCGGGACUGCGGAGCGUAUUAUUUUAUUUACUCAUUCGCGGCUUAUUUCAUGUAACCGCGGGCACCUCGACAAACGUCGCCUAAGGACUAGCAGCGGCGAGGGAGAGAUGGACCGCGACAGGAAAAAAAGGAGAGGGCGAUCGUCCAGGGCCGGCGCACAGGAUAACGCCGACGGAGAGGAGGAGACAAGACGUGGCGACAGAUAAGCGCCACGCAAAAGAGGUUCGCCAGUGGCAUGGCUGAUGGGCAGGCUGAUGCGGACGAACGGCCAGGACAAGGGUCGAAUGCCGGCUGUCCAUCGAGGAGGGUAGCGGCAAGGAAUCAUCGCAGGAAAAUUCUGCGGCUGUCGGCCGCGAGGACGACGAGAGCGACGAGGAUGUCGGAUGCCGACGGGGACCGCACGACACCUGCGGAGACCCGACACUGCGCUGCCGUGACGUCACGGUUAGAUAAGGGCGGCCGCUAAUAGGCCGCGCCGCUAGGCGCAAGGAUAUCGCGCACCCUGUGGGAGGGGUAGCGCUCAUCGAUCGCGCAUUCGGCGUAGACGGUGCUAUCGGAGGCGAGAGCGUGGGAUAUCGUCCUGAGUUACCGGGAGGCGGCUAUCGGGUGUCCGGCCUGGCGAUCUCUGCCCAGGAUCCUGCAGACGAGGAAGAGGAUCGUGCCGAGAGUCGAGAAUUACGUGGCUCGCCGUAGCGGAGGCUCUGCGUUCGCAUUCUUGCCGCGCCGGUCAGAGCGCGCGUGAUUGGUUGCCGCGCUUUGCGCGGGAUCAGUCGUCGUGAUCGGCGCGUGUAGCGUAAUUAUGGUCUGAGUUGAAAUAAUUCCCGCGUCCGGCUUAUUAAUUUCUUUUUGUCAACUCCUUAUCUCUUUGUUUUUCUUUCUUACGUUAACGUCUUACGUUCUUUUUUUUUCUUAUUUUAUUGUAUGCCAUCUCCAUUAUGCACUGCAAUACAUGUGAUCUCUAUCUGUUA